GUGAGGAAUAUUGCGCAAUGGAGGCAACUCUGACGCAGCCAUGCCGCGUGCAGGAAGAAGGCGCUACGCGUUGUAAACUGCUUUUAACCGGGAAGAAACCCCAGGACGUGUCCUGGGUUGACGGUACCGGAGGAAUAAGCACCGGCUAACUUCGUGCCAGCAGCCGCGGUAAUACGAAGGGUGCAAGCGUUAUCCGGAUUCAUUGGGUUUAAAGGGUGCGUAGGCGGAGCGUUAAGUCAGUGGUGAAAUCCUGCAGCUUAACUGUAGACUUGCCAUUGAUACUUGCGCUCUUGAGUGCGCUUGAAGUGGGCGGAAUGUGCCGUGUAGCGGUGAAAUGCUUAGAUAUGGCACAGAACACCAAUUGCGAAGGCAGCUCACUAAGGCGAUACUGACGCUGAGGCACGAAAGCGUGGGGAUCGAACAGGAUUAGAAACCCUUGUAGUCC
rnacentral:rRNA from 1 species